rnacentral:tRNA from 1 species
UGUGGCUCAAUGGUAGAGUGCUUGCCUAGCAUGCAUGAGGCUCUGGGUUUGAUCCUGGCA